UUUCUGUGCGCUUGUUCUACAUUCCAACUGCGAGUGAAAGUUACGCAAGACCCAACAUGGACGAGGCAGAGAAGUACCAGCAGAGAGUGCAGGCUAUAGAGGACAAGCGACGUAAGCAGCAGGACGACGAGAAAGCAA